GACCCACAUGUUUUAAAUUGGCACUGGUAAGGCAAAUGGAAAGGUGAAUAGAACAGCUGAACUGAAGAAGCAAACCCAGGAGCUUUAUGAAAGCAUGUGAAGUGGCUAUCAAAUUACCCCUGUCUUAUGCUUGGAAACAGACAGGACAGCUUUAUCCUCUUCUUGUGGUUUUGUCUGGAUGAUGAUGAUGAUUUUUGUGAGCCUGAUCUAAAGCAGCCAAUACAAAAUAAAUUGUCGUGUAUACCUC